rnacentral:rRNA from 1 species
ACUCAAAGGAAUUGACGGGGGCCCGCACAAGCGGUGGAGCAUGUGGUUUUCAAUUCGACGCAACGCGAAGAACCUUACCUGGGUUUGAACUACUGGAAGUAGCUCUUUUGAAAGAUUGAGCGACCUGUAAAGUCAGGAGCCAGCAGAGGUGCUGCAUGGCUGUCGUCAGCUCGUGUCGUGAGAUGUUGGGUUAAGUCCCGCAACGAGCGCAACCCUUAUCCUAUGUUGCCACGUCCGUAAAGGACAGCACUCUUAGGAAACUGCCUCGGAUAACGGGGAGGAAGGUGGGGAUGACGUCAAGUCCUCAUGGCCUUUAUGUCCAGGGCUACACACGUGCUACAAUGGCCGGUACAACGAGCAGCAAAUCCGCAAGGAGGAGCAAAUCUCUAAAAGCCGGCCCCAGUUCAGAUCGUGGGCUGCAAUUCGCCCGCGUGAAGGCGGAAUCGCUAGUAAUCGGAGAUCAGCUGGCUCCGGUGAAUACGUUCCCGGGCCUUGCACACACCGCCCGU